GAUGAACGCUGGCGGCGUACUGGGAUAACUUCGGGAAACCGGAGCUAAUACCGGAUAAUAUUUUGAACCGCAUGGUUCAAAAGUGAAAGACGGUCUUGCUGUCACUUAUAGAUGGAUCCGCGCUGCAUUAGCUAGUUGGUAAGGUAACGGCUUACCAAGGCAACGAUGCAGRUUCAAAAGUGAAAGUGAUCGGCCACACUGGAACUGAGACACGGUCCAGACUCCUACGGGAGGCAGCAGUAGGGAAUCUUCCGCAAUGGGCGAAAGCCUGACGGAGCAACGCCGCGUGAGUGAUGAAGGUCUUCGGAUCGUAAAACUCUGUUAUUAGGGAAGAACAUAUGUGUAAGUAACUGUGCACAUCUUGAACAUAUGUGUAAGUAACAAAGCCACGGCUAACUACGUGCCAGCAGCCGCGGUAAUACGUAGGUGGCAAGCGUUAUCCGGAAUUAUUGGGCGUAAAGCGCGCGUAGGCGGUUUUUUAAGUCUGAUGUGAAAGCCCACGGCUCAACCCGUGGAGGGUCAUUGGAAAACUGGAAAAACUUGAGUGCAGAAGAGGAAAAGUGGAAUUUCCAUGUGUAGCGGUGAAAAUGCGCAGAGAUAUGGAGGAACAUAUCCGGAAUUAUUGGGCGACUUUCUGGUCUGUAACUGACGCUGAUGUGCGAAAAGCGUGGGGAUCAAACAGGAUUAGAUACCCUGGUAGUCCACGCCGUAAACGAUGAGUGCUAAGUGUUAGGGGGUUUCCGCCCCUUAGUGCUGCAGCUAACGCAUUAAGCACUCCGCCUGGGGAGUACGACCGCAAGGUUGAAACUCAAAGGAAUUGACGGGGACCCGCACAAGCGGUGGAGCAUGUGUGGCGAAGGCGACUUUCUGGUCUGUAACUGACAAUCUUGACAUCCUUUGACAACUCUAGAGAUAGAGCUUUCCCCUUCGGGGGACAAAGUGACAGGUGGUGCAUGGUUGUCGUCAGCUCGUGUCGUGAGAUGUUGGGUUAAGUCCCGCAACGAGCGCAACCCUUAAGCUUAGUUGCCAUCAUUAAGUUGGGCACUCUAAGUUGACUGCCGGUGACAAACCGGAGGAAGGUGGGGAUGACGUCAAAUCAUCAUGCCCCUUAUGAUUUGGGCUACACACGUGCUACAAUGGACAAUACAAAGGGCAGCAAAGGGCAGCGAAACCGCGAGGUCAAAAGUUGUUCUCAGUUCGGAUUGUAGUCUGCAACUCGACUACAUGAAGCUGGAAUCGCUAGUAAUCGUAGAUCAGCAUGCUACGGUGAAUACGUUCGUCGAAGGUGGGACAAAUGAUACACC
rnacentral:rRNA from 1 species